UAGAAGCAUCCAGAAAGCAGAGCAGAGCUUCUGCUGGGCUUGUUUCCGUGGCAACAGCUUCACUGGCCUGUCUCGGGGAAACGAAAGGAGGAAGGGCAUGGAAGCUGCACAAGAAAACCAAUGCCCUUGACAGGGCUUAACUACCCUAAAGAAGUGCGAUGCUACAUUCAAAGCGUGUUAGCAGUGUCCCUUCCGUGUGAAGUGAAGCCACAAGGAGACGAGCCUCCACGCAUCACGGAGCAUCACGGAGCAAGGGCCCUGCGCACCUGUGCAAAAACAGAUCCGACCCCGUCACACUCCACACUCCUGAUUUCCCGCCUCCCAAGUCUCCUCCAGUCUCGCUCCCUUGUUUCACGUGUCCAACCCAGCACCCUCACCUAACUGCCUUGCAGUCAGCUGCUGUCAGCACAUUCCUCCACACCCUCCAGCCUUCACCUAGUCUGUUCCCUCUACCCAAAAGGCUCUUCCACUUCCUUGCCGCUGAACUAUUUCUACCCAUCCCCCGAGACUCCCUGCGACUCUCGGCUGGCGCUGCCCCUCGCUGGGGCUGUCCUUUGCGCCCCGUAGCAUUUCAUCCUCCACCCCACCGGAGCAGGUAUGAUGCUACAGUGUAUUUGUCUACCUGUUCCUUCUUCCCAGAGUCCCAGAGUCUUUCAAGGAAGGGUGAGACACCCUACUCAUCUCUGUACCCCACCCCCAUCCCCAGCACCCAACUCUUGCAUCAGAUGCCAAAUGAAUGAAAUACUAUGGAGCAAGAAUGCAGGCAGUUCUUUUCAGAGAGAAAAUACUGAUAACAACCUUGCAUCUUGUGCUAAAAGGCCAAAAGGUUCUAUCUGUAAAAAGUGAAGGAAGCCAGUCCUUUCAAGAGCAGAUUUUGUCACAGAACGACAGGUCCAUUUCCACAGACAUAAGCGCUGUGCAAGUAUCCUCUUCCGACCGGGAAGCUGAAAAGCUUUUCCAAGGUUUUGGUCUCCUUGACAACAGCAGUGCCAGAGACAAGUAGGGAAAUAAUUAAAAAGUAUGUUCCCUUCGCCUCGAACUUCGCAAGUGUUUUUAAGCAAUAACGAACAGUCCACGCUCAGGGUGGAUGGCGUCAGUAUGGACCGAGCCGAGGGCAAUGCAGGGACAUGCCAUCCUGUCCCCCCAUCCAGCGCCCCUCCUCCGAACGUGGAAGCCCAAGUGAAGGAGCCAAGCCCUCCACCCAGGACGACAUUCACCGCAGGAACCACAGCCCAUACAGGGCAGAUUCGCAACUGCACCUUCCAAGUGCCGGGUCCCACAGGUCAAACACACUGCCGCGUGUAAUCCUCACAAGGGCUCUUUGAACUCUUUGAGCUGGCUAAGUAUUACUGUCGCCAUUUGGCAGGAGAAAAACUGAACUGCAGAAAAGCGGCCAGGCAGUGUGGUCCAGGGGCCCACAGCCCUGGCUGCACCUCACUGCACCCCCAGGCUGGCUUCUAAAGAAAUGCACUCCCCCUACCCCGCCCUGGCCUCCCCUCUGACCCUCAGAGCUCAUCCCGGGAUCUGAAGCCCUGAAGGAAGCUGCCUUCCUCUGAGCACCGUCCAGCUGGCCCAUGUCCCCACACAGAGCCACUCGUGCCGGCUUCAUUCCCUUCACCCCUGCCCCAGAGCUGCGAGAACGUGCAGGGCGAGAUGGGAGGCGCCAGCCCUGAAACGCGGUCAGCUCUGAUCUUGACUGAUGUGUCUCCUUCUCUUUUCAGGGUGGCUUUCCAUGGUCUGUUUUGUUUUAACAGCUUUACUGUAUUCGUAUCUUUUAUUGUAAGCCUCCUCAAAUCCUUUCUGGAUUUAUGAUUUAUAAAUAAACAAUAAAUAAACACA